GGUCUUUUAUUCGCUGCUUUUGAUCUCCAAAAUACCCCAGUCGGGUGAAUGCGAAACGGUUAGGCAGGACGCCUUUCGCAAAAUUAAACAGAAGUAUUUAAGGAAUCAUCUCAUCAACACAAAGCAGGCGGGAAGCGAGUUUGAAUGUGUUAUGCAUUGCCUUACGAAUAGAUUAUGCGCGUCCGUGAAUUUUAAAGCAUCUGGAAUUGGUAAAGGUCUAUGUGAACUCAACAAUUCGACUAUUUUAGAAACAACUGAUGUUGACAAAAAUCUGAAUCCAGAGUUCAACCACCUUUACAUGGUCGAAAAGAGAGCACCCGAUCGCGUUCAGCCAACCGUCGAGACCCGCACAACACAACCAACAGUCACAAACCGAGAGGAAUGCAGAAG